AUAUAUCUUUUAAUUCUUUGAGCAGCACAGUGACAUUGCUGGCUUGUCUGCAGGACAUGAAGAAUUGGCUGGCUCAACUUUUUUUAAAAAACUGAAUGAAGACAAAACAGAAGUUGUUGUGUUUGGCCAUCCCAAUUCCCCAUCAUCCACUGACUGUGUUCUUGGCCCCUUGGUAUCUUUCUCCCAGUCUGUGGUAAAAAAAACAAAAAAACAAAACCUUGAGUUCUAACAGACACCUCAUUUAAGUUGGACAAACAGAUUAAAUCUGUGGUUAAAGAUAGCUUUUUCAACUGCGAGUCCUAAGCAAGGUGAAACCUUACCUCCCCCACAAGG